AUCUGCUUGUACCCGCCGGCUGCCUGCCAUUUUCUGCCAUGAGUAGAAACAGCGUGAGGCCCGUGCCAGAUGCAGCUGUCCCUGAAUCAUUCAGACCAAAUAAUUGAGAACCUUGCUCAUGGUCAAAUGGCUGGUGACUGGUAAAGUCACCAGGUAACCCGGGUCUGGCUGAUUACAAGGUUGGCUCACUCUGCACCCAACAUCCCUGGACAGGGGUCUCCAUGAAAAUUGUUUCCCUGGCCUGCUGAAGUCGGGUCUCAUUGUUCCAGUCCUCCAUUCCUUCCACAUACUUCCAUGGUCCCAGAGGCUCAGCCUUCCUGCUGUCACUAUUGUACUCAAAGAAGGGCUGGUCAUUCAGGAUGCCAACAGCCUCAAACUUGGGGAAGCCUUCUCUUGGCUUGGACUGCCCAGUGUAGACAUAGGUCAGAGAGUAAGUACCUGCAAAGAAAGAGAAGACUCUGAGGGCAGGGUUCCAAGCAUGUGAGUCCCAGUGGGGGCAGCAGAGGGCCAGGAGGGGAGACCUAGCCUCUGGGCCUCUUCUUCCCCAGCUCUGUCUGCCCUGCUGUCAGCCUCACCCAUUGGAGGCUCGCUCCAGUGAACAGGCUCUACUUCUCUUCUGGGGACAAUAUUUCAGAGACCAUUCUGUGUCUUCACUACAUUGUUUCCUCUGCUUGGCACCUAAGAAGACAAUAUCUCUCAGUCACCUUGCAGGUCAAUUGCAACCAUGAGACUGAGUUCUGGCAAAAGGAAAGUGAUGUCUUUCUUGUGGUCCAAGCCCUAUGAGCUGGCUUGACCUGCUGUCUCUUUUCCCUUUACGUGAUGACUGUGGAAGUCACAGGAUGAAAAGGAAGAGUUGCAAGAUGAAAGCAGCCUGGAUCCCUGGGUCAUCACAUGGAGGAAGUGAAGUUGCCUGAUCUGCAUUGAACUUUACUUGAAUGAGAAUUAAGCAUUUGUUGGGUUAGUCACUGAAAGCUUUAUUUGUGACUGGAGAAUAGCAUCAUCUAACCUGGCAAACACCGUUGGUUAAUGAUGGGUUUAUGUUCUAUGAAAUAGGUCAUUAGGCAAUUUUGCUCUCGUGCAAACAUCAUAGAGUGUGCUUACACAUACCUAGAUGGUGUAGUCUAUGACCCACCUGGACUACAUGGUGUAGCCAUUAUAACCUGACGGGACCACUGUCGUGUGUGAGGCCCAUCGUUUAGCAGUGCAUGACUGCAUGUCCUAUUAGUUCUGUUUCUCUGGAAAAUUUUGAUUAACGCAGGUUUUUGUAUCAAAUGUGAUUAACAUUCUAAAUGUGAUUAAUUGUUACAAAACUGCCAUGUAAAACCUUGAUGGAGUUUGGAUGUAUUGUCCUCCCAGAACUCAUGUGGAAAUCUGAUCCCCAACGUGGCACUGUAAGGAGCUGUUUGAGUCAUGUGCGUGGAUCCCUCAUGAAUGGAUAAGUGCUCUCCCUGUGGGGUGGGGUUAGUGAGGUUUCACUUUAUUGGUUCUCGUGAGAGCUGGUUGUUUAAAAGACCCUGGCACUUCCCCUGCCUCUGUCUUGCUUCCUCUCGCCAUGUGAUCUGUCUGUACCCGCCGGCUGCCUGCCGCUUUCCGCCAUGAGUAGAAGCAGCCUGAGGCCCACACCAGAAGCAGCUGCCGCAGAAGCAGAAGCCAAAUAAACCUGUAUUCUUUAUAAAUUACCCAGUCUUGGGUAUGCUCAA